rnacentral:lncRNA from 1 species
CUGAUGCUAGCUCCCUGUUAGCUGUUAGCUGGACUACGAUCGUAUUAAAGGUUGAAGGAGCGGAUGAUUUAUUAUUAGCGUCUCUUUUCUCGUCUGUACUUGUUCAUGUACAACAGUCACAGGUCUGCUAGUCGUCGCUGGUGCUGACCUGUUUGUUGACUUUAAGCUCUCACAACAAGGCAAAAGAUAUAAAAAGUAAUGAGGACAUAAUGAAGUAUAAAAGCUUAACUGUAACUCUCAGCUAAAUACAUUGACUCAAAUACUUCACUUCAGGACACAUUUAAGGGCAGAGCAACGUGUAGCGUGUGUACAGUAAAUACAGCCGACUGUUAGCUGAGAAUAAAUCAAGGCGACAACGAUAACCUCCAUCUUUAAUUUGAGGGUGUUCACAUCACAUCAGAAAAAACAGCAGGAACAGUCUCUCAUGUUUCUGUUCUGUCAUGUUUCUGUGUAACAGAGAUGUCGGAUACUUCAGAGAAAAAGUGGAAACCAACUCUGACUAAAAUCCUGGAGGAGCUGGACAACAAACAGUACAGAAAGACAAUGGAAUAUUUGGACAAAGUUCCCAAAGGUCAGAAGAAAGGCAGAUCUUUUGCAACGAUGGCCCAAAAAAUAAUUGAGCGCUACGGACAUGACGAAUCAAUUUCUACAAUACAUAAAAUCAUGGAAGAGAUACCGAGGAAGGAUCCGAGGAUGCAGGAACUGUUGGGCCCCUUUGUUGAAGAACUGAGGAGCAAAAAUGAAAAAGGGAGAAAAGGAAAGAAGAGAAAGUGUGAUUCAGUGGAGAAGGAAGACAAUCCUCCAGCAGAGAUGUCGGAUACUUCAGAGAAAAAGUGGAAAGCAACUCUGACUAAAAUCCUGGAGGAGCUGGACAACAAACAGUACAGAGAGACGAUGGAAUAUUUGGACAAAAUCCCCGGAAGUCAGAAGAAAGGCAGAUCUGAAGCAACGAUGGCCCAAAAAAUCAUUGAGCGCUACGGACAUGAUGAAUCAAUUUCUGCAAUACAUAAUAUCAUGGAAGAGAUACCGAGGAAGGAUCCAAGGAUGCAGGAACUGUUGGGCCCCUUUGUCGAAGAACUGAGCAGCAAAAAUGAAAAAGGGAGAAAAGGAAAGAAGAGAAAGUGUGAUCCAGUGGAGAAGGAAGACAAUCCUCCAGCAGGGAAGAAGAAUAAAUGUGAUCAAGCGGAGGAGGAAAAUAAGCCUGCAGAAGGUACGAAGGUUUCACCAGCUGUAAGAUCUGGUCCCAACAUCUCUUUACACUUGUUUGUGUCAUUUUUUAGAUAUUUAACAAUAGAAAACUCUGAUUAAUGUCAAACAGGGUCUCACUUUUGUAGCUUUUAU